rnacentral:lncRNA from 1 species
CUGGGCGAAUCGGCUUUUAUGAAGAGUCAUUCUAGAUCGGACUUUGGUUGCCUGUGCAUCCCUUCGUUGUAGAAGUUUUUUACUUCUUUAACCUCUCUCUUUGCUCUCUUGUUCCUAAUUCCUUUUGUUUGAUCAUUGGCUUCGUGGUUGCUUGCUUCUUGGCUCGAGUCCGUCCGUCCAUCCCCCUCUUCCAAUCUUUCUUCAUCCUGAAGAGAUGUACCAUGGACUGGUGGUACAUCUCUCUCUCAAAGGAUGCCCCUACCUUGAUAAAGGGAGCC